rnacentral:rRNA from 1 species
CAGUCGAACGAGAGAAGAGAAGCUUGCUUUUCUGAUCUAGUGGCGGACGGGCGAGUAACACGUGAGCAAUCUGCCUUUCAGAGGGGGAUACCGAUUGGAAACGAUCGUUAAUACCGCAUAACAUAAUUGAACCGCAUGAUUUGAUUAUCAAAGAUUUAUCGCUGAAAGAUGAGCUCGCGUCUGAUUAGCUAGUUGGUAAGGUAACGGCUUACCAAGGCGACGAUCAGUAGCCGGACUGAGAGGUUGAUCGGCCACAUUGGGACUGAGACACGGCCCAGACUCCUACGGGAGGCAGCAGUGGGGAAUAUUGCACAAUGGAGGAAACUCUGAUGCAGCGAUGCCGCGUGAGGGAAGAAGGUUUUAGGAUUGUAAACCUCUGUCUUCAGGGACGAAAAAAGACGGUACCUGAGGAGGAAGCUCCGGCUAACUACGUGCCAGCAGCCGCGGUAAUACGUAGGGAGCGAGCGUUGUCCGGAAUUACUGGGUGUAAAGGGAGCGUAGGCGGGAUCGCAAGUCAGAUGUGAAAACUAUGGGCUUAACCCAUAAACUGCAUUUGAAACUGUGGUUCUUGAGUGAAGUAGAGGUAAGCGGAAUUCCUAGUGUAGCGGUGAAAUGCGUAGAUAUUAGGAGGAACAUCAGUGGCGAAGGCGGCUUACUGGGCUUUAACUGACGCUG